CCUGACCCUAGAGGCAUUGCAGGUGUGGCAGCUGUGCCACGUGUGUGUCAGCAGCUGGCGGAAAGGAGAGAGGCUAUGCCUAUAGCUCAGUGUUCUGACCUGCGAACAUCUGAAUGACUAGCAGUCUAAAAUU